rnacentral:rRNA from 1 species
GACGAACGCUGGCGGCGUGCCUAACACAUGCAAGUCCACGAGAAAGGGGUAGCAAUAUCCCGAGUAAAGUGGCGCACGGGUGAGUAACGCGUAGGUAAUCUGCCUUCAGGACGGGGACAACCUCGAGAAAUCGAGGCUAAUACCCGAUGAUGUCCCGAUGUGGCAUCACAUUGGGACCAAAUAUUUCCCGCUUCGGCGGGAUAACGCCGGAAGUUGAGCCUGCGUCCCAUAGGUAGUUGGUGAGGUAGAGGCUCACCAAGCCUGCGAUGGGUAGCUGGUCUGAGAGGAUGGCCAGCCACACUGGAACUGAGACACGGUCCAGACUCCUACGGGAGGCAGCAGUGAGGAAUAUUGCGCAAUGGCCGAAAGGCUGACGCAGCGACGCCGCGUGGAGGACGAAGUCCGAUA